UGAGGGAAAGAUGGAAAGAACUUUGAAAAGAGAGUGAAAAGCACUUGAAACCGUCACGGGGGAAGCGGAUUGCGUGAGUGAUGGUGUCGCUUGUUCAGCGCUUUAUUGCGUGCAUUCUGGCGGCGCCGUGCCGGCGUGGCUGGCUGGACUGUGAUUUUGACAGUCUCGGCUGGUGAGGGCUCCCUCGUAUGAGGUGAGGACGCGGGCAAAAUGACGCAAUACGACCCGUCUUGAAACACGGACCAAGGAGUCUAGCACGGCUGCGAGUCGAAGAGUGAUUAAACUCAAGGGCGCAGUGAAAGCGAAAUUAUAAGCAAAUUGGGGAGGCGUUGCGUUUUUAACAAAAUGUCCUACCUCGAGCAUUUGUGCUGGGACCCGAAAGAUGGUGAACUAUGCCGGAGUAGGGCAAAGCCAGAGGAAACUCUGGUGGAGGCUCGUAGCGAUGCUGACGUGCAAAUCGCUCGUCGAACUUGGGUAUAGGGGCGAAAGACUAAUCGAACCAUCUAGUAGCUGGUUCCCUCCGAAGUUUCUCUCAGGAUAGCGGGCCGACA
rnacentral:rRNA from 1 species